GAUGAACGCUGGCGGCGUGCCUAAUACAUGCAAGUCGAGCGAACGGGCGAGAAGCUUGCUUCUCUGAUGUUAGCGGCGGACGGGUGAGUACCACGUGGAUAACCUACCUAUAAGACUGGGAUAACUUCGGGAAACCGUAGCUAAUACCGGAUAAUAUUUUGAACCGCAUGGUUCAAAAGUGAAAGACGGUCUUGCUGUCACUUAUAGAUGGAUCCGCGCUGCAUUAGCUAGUUGGUAAGGUAACGGCUUACCAAGGCAACGAUGCAUAGCCGACCUGAGAGGGUGAUCGGCCACACUGGAACUGAGACACGGUCCAGACUCCUACGGGAGGCAGCAGUAGGGAAUCUUCCGCAAUGGGCGAAAGCCUGACGGAGCAACGCCGCGUGAGUGAUGAAGGUCUUCGGAUCGUAAAACUCUGUUAUUAGGGAAGAACAGAUGUGUAAGUAACUGUGCACAUCUUGACGUUACCUACUCAGAAAGCCACGGCUAACUACGUG
rnacentral:rRNA from 1 species